AGCGAACGCUGGCGGCAGGCCUAACACAUGCAAGUCGAAUGAACUCUUCGGAGUUAGUGGCGGACGGGUGAGUAACACGCGGGAACGUGCCUUUUGGUUCGGAAUAACUCAGGGAAACUUGUGCUAAUACCGAAUGUGCCCUUCGGGGGAAAGAUUUAUCGCCAUUAGAGCGGCCCGCGUCUGAUUAGCUAGUUGGUGAGGUAAUGGCUCACCAAGGCUACGAUCAGUAGCUGGUCUGAGAGGAUGAUCAGCCACAUUGGGACUGAGACACGGCCCAAACUCCUACGGGAGGCAGCAGUGGGGAAUCUUGCGCAAUGGGCGAAAGCCUGACGCAGCUAUGCCGCGUGAAUGAUGAAGGUCUUAGGAUUGUAAAAUUCUUUCACCGGGGACGAUAAUGACGGUACCCGGAGAAGAAGCCCCGGCUAACUUCGUGCCAGCAGCCGCCGUAAGAC
rnacentral:rRNA from 1 species